rnacentral:tRNA from 1 species
UUUUAUUUCUAUUUAUAUAGUUUAAAUAAAACCUUACAUUUUCAUUGUAAAAUCAAACUCAAGUUUU